rnacentral:rRNA from 1 species
UACGAAGGGGGCUAGCGUUGCUCGGAAUCACUGGGCGUAAAGCGCACGCAGGCGGUCUGCUAAGUUUGGAGUGACAGUUGGUGGCUCAACCACCAAAGUGCUUUGAAAACUGGCCGACUUGAGGGCUUCAGAGGGACACGGAAUUCCGGGUGGAGUGGUGAAAUGCGUAGAGAUCCGGAGGAACACCGAAGGCGAAGGCAGUGUCCUGGGGAGUACCUGACGCUCAGGUGCGAAAGCCAGGGGAGCGAACGGG